CUAGCUCCGUCUUCAUCCGGUCUGUCGAUUGGCAAAAAAGAGAAACCCAAGGCGGUGAGUGACUCUGCUCUACUCCAACAUCUGAAGUUCUCAACGGCCUUUUUCUCCCCCUCUUUUCAAAGAAAUUCCCUCCCGAUCGACUCAAUUCAGACGAAGCCCACAAAGAACUAGAAGUUCACCCAGUAUAAUCUCAAAGGUCUCUCUCUCUCUCAAUUUUCCUAUUUUGCGGUGAUGUACACCUUCGUGUUGUUCUGAUGGUUGGAAAUUGUGAGAUGGCAAAACAAGCCAAUACCGUUUUCCUUGAAGAAUGGCUGAGAAGCAUUAGUGGCGGUAGCAGCAACGUCGGCUCUUCAUAUUCCUCUCCCUCAUCGGCCCGAUCUAUCAUUCAAGCUUGGGCUGAGCUUAGAGACUCUCUUCAACACCAAUCAUUUCGUCCCCAUCACCUCCAGUCUUUGAAAACCCUUCUCAACUCCCAAACGUCUCUUCAUGUGGCUGACCCGCAAGCUAAGAUUAUCCUUUCCAUCGUUUCCUCUGUAAACCUCUCUCUUCCGCCUGAAUCAUAUCCUUUCUUUCUAAGGCUUCUUUAUAUCUGGGUCAGGAAAGCCUUCAAACCCUCUCUGGUUCUAAUUGAUUCCACUGUGGACAUCAUUUCUCAACUUUUCAAUGCUCAGUCUGAUUCCAUAAAGAGUCCACUCUUCUUCUCUGAGGGUGUUCUCCUUCUGGGUGCAUUAUCUUUGGUGCCUUCUGUAUCUGAAAGCUCUAAAAUAGUCUGCUUGGAUAUGCUCUGUAGACUGUUGGAGGAGGAGUACCAGUUGAUUGGUUCAUCAGAAGAUCUUAUUUCUUAUAUCCUUGCGGGGAUGGGGUAUGCUCUGUCGUCUUCUGUGAAUGUUCAUUAUGUUAAGAUUUUAGAUUCUCUAUUGGGAAUUUGGGGGAGAGAAGGUGGGCCUCAUGGCAGUGUGUCUCAUGGGCUCAUGAUUUUGCAUUUGAUUGAAUGGGUGUUAUCUGGUUUGAUCAAUGUCUUUUCUUUUGAGAAAAUUGAUGUUUUUGGCCAUGAAGCUUUAGAGACUUCAAAGGCAAACUAUGUUCCUUUUGUUGUUGUCAUGGCUGCGGCUGGAGCAUUGAGGGCUCUCAAUAAAUAUACAAUGAGUGGUCUGGGACUAGAGACUGUUUCCAGACUAAGGAUUUCUGCAGAGAAUCGGAUAGAAUCUGUUGCAAGAAAUAUUAUUUCCAGAAGUGGUGUUACUAAUUUAGGUAAUGAUCUCACCAACAGUUUUCUACUGCAGUGUUUUUCAUUAGCACUUGCUCGAAGUGGCUUGGUUUCUUCAAAGGCCCCUCUGCUUAUAUGCCUUGCAUCUGCAUUGUUGACUGAAAUCUUUCCCUUAAGACGUUUAUAUACUAAAUUACUUGACUUCCCACAUGCCAACUCCGUAAGACUGGGGCAUGGUGAGGUAAAAAAACAUGUGGAUAGUGUUCCUUUUAAGGAAGCAGGGGCCAUAACUGCUGUUUUCUGCAAUCUGUAUGCUUCAGUAGAUGUAGAGAGCAAAUGUGUGGUGGAGAAUCUUCUAUGGGAUUACUGUCAAGAUAUCUACUUGGGACAUAGGCGGGCAGCUUUGUUGCUUCGAGGUAGAGAGGAUGAACUACUUCGGGAUAUGGAGAAAAUUGCUGAAUCUGCUUUCCUUAUGGUUGUACUUUUUGCAUUGGCUGUCACAAAAUACAAAUUAAAUACAAAAUUCAGCCAGGAAACACACAAGGACAUAUCAGUACGCAUAUUAGUUUCAUUUUCUUGUCUAGAGUACUUCCGCCGCAUUCGUUUACCAGAGUAUAUGGAUACAAUUCGAGGGGUUGUAGGGAGUGUUCAGGAGAACGAAUCUGCUAUAGUAUCUUUUGUGGAAUCUAUGCCUUCUUACACGGAUUUGACAAAUGGACCAGAUUUCUGCUCCUCUCAAAAGAUGGAAUAUGUAUGGUACAAGGAUGGUGUGCAAACUGCUCGCAUAUUGUUUUACCUACGUGUCAUUCCAACUUGCAUUGAACGUGUGCCUAUUUUUGUACUUAGGAAGGUGGUAGCUCCAACUAUGUUUCUACAUAUGGCACAUCCAAAUGGAAAAGUUGCUAGAGCAUCACAUUCCAUGUUUUCAGCAUUCAUAUCUUCAGGGAAGGAUUCUGAUCAGGAUGAAAGAGUAUCAUUAAAGGAGCAGCUUGCUUUCUAUUACAUGCAGAGAUCUUUAUCGGGAUAUCCCGGCAUCACUCCUUUUGAGGGUAUGGCUUCAGGAGUUGCAGCCUUGGUUCAUUAUCUUCCUGCUGGAAGUCCUGCCAUUUUUUAUUGCGUCCACAGUCUUGUGGAAAAAGCCAACACACUAUGUGGUGACAUCUCUCAAGAGGCCGGUAUGGGGAAGAAUUGGCAUGGAGAGUCGGAGCCUUGCAAGAAAAUUCUAGACUUGCUUCUACGGCUUAUCUCCCUUGUUGAUAUACAGGUGCUACCACACUUGAUGAAGUUGUUGGCACAGCUGGUCGUCCAGCUACCCAAAGAUGGCCAGAAUAUGGUUCUCAAUGAGCUAUAUUCACAGGUUGCAGAGUCUGACGAUGUCACACGCAAACCCAGCUUAGUUUCAUGGCUGCAGUCACUGUCCUACCUUUGUGCUCAAGCUGCAAGUGGAAGUGCCACCUACAAAGGGAUGGAAAGAGUAAAUAUGACUUCCGCACGGAGUACAGACUCAUUAAGCCUGACUAAACUAAAUGCACGACUCUGAGACAUUGACUUUGCACCUAAUUGGUUUCUUGUCCGCAGUCCUCUCUUGGUCUAUGAUCUAGUUACUUGGGUAUCACCUUGAAGUCUGUCACAGUACCUAUUUGCUGCAGGAACUGGUACAACAUCAAUGACACGGGAAUUGGGAAUGCGAGGGCUACUCGAAAAUCCUGGAAUCAUGACAGAAGUUCAACAAGAGGUCUAGAAAGUAGAAUCAGAUCCAAGAUUAAUAGGCGAUUGCCCUUUGUCUUUUAGAACUGUAGCAAAUGCAGAUGAAUGCGGUUAUGUAGUCUCAAACAAUGCGCAUGGGAAAACCCCCACUCUUUUGUUCCCAAUGGGUAUCUUUCAGGGCUUGGAUUUUCUUUCUUUUUAGUUGGUUCCAUUUAGCGCAGGCUAGUGAUUCUGCCCUCGUUACCCAUUAUCUGUUGAUGCAUGGCGAUUCAAGUUACAGUUGACUCAUGAUAUCAUGUGCUGGUCCCCACUGAAAGGUAUGCAGUGCCAUUUUAAGUUUCAAUGAAAUGUUAUGUUAAAAAUGAAAAACUCGUGAUGAUGGUAGAAAGGAUGAAGUAUGAUUUAGGCGAGAAAAAUAGUAUAUGCAUUAUUCUUGUUGGAGCUGGAUGUAUCAGAUAAUGGUGUAAUGUUUUCAAGUUUUGUAUGUGUGCAUUUUAAGCUAAAGAUGUCAAGUGCUACUAUGGGGUUCUGAUUCUAUGAUGUUGUAUAAAAAAUUGUGAAGGGAAAGUAGAUGAAUAAAAUGUGUUGAGAAAAAAGAAUGUGUUCUCAUUCUCUACUAUUCAUGGAACUAGAGCAAUGACCGUGGUAGAUUGCAGGGUUCAGUAGUGGCAGGAAGGUCAAAAGCCAAAAAAGUUGAAUGUCUGGCAAGGAGGAGAAGAUUACGAGACUUGCUCCUAUGAAGAAGUUGUCAAUAUGACAUAUUUGGAAGAGUGGGCUCUCAUGGACUGGGAUUACUUCAGUUCUUUGUUGGGGGCUACUGAAGCUUUGAAGGCUAGCACUCUUCGCCUUCCAGUUGUUGGUGGGGCAAAAGUGAGCACCAAUGUGUCUGCUGCCCAAAAAAUUGGCAUGUUUGUGGCUUAGUUAUUUUUUUAUAUGGUUCUUUGGAUGCUACAUACUGAUGUCCAAAAUGUGAAUGAUGCUAUUUGCUCAGCUGUUGAUGUUAUGCAGGCAAUGGGAUCCUCAAAUCUGUUUAUUGUUAUCGAAGGUUGGGGAUCUGAACUCUUUGGUUUCUGAACUUGGAAAUAUUAGAGUGAAAGAUUGUGCUUUGCUUCAUCAGUGGAAGGAUCUCCUGUCAACAAUUGCAGUAAUGCAGUCAAAUUGGGGCACCGCUUGCGCACCCCCUGCUGACUUGGAAUGGGUUUAAUAAAAUGGUGCGGAUUGCUUUUUGGUGGGAGACCAAAUUGAAGACUAAAAUUGAAACGGUGUGUUUCAACUUGCUCCUUCUUCCCCAACCUUCUCCUUCUUCUCCAUUCCCCAUAAGCUCCUUCUUCCUUCGUCCCAUUCCCCCUAGCUUCUGCAAGCCAAAAAUAUCAGGGCCCAUGAAAAACAAUUUCUCGAAGCUGGACCGAAAUGGAGACUCAUGUAGCGGCUACUAGAACUUGAUGUGGAAGAAGAAGAAUAACCGAGAGGUGGAAGGCUCAGUGGAGAAGGAAUUGAAGAAGCUCAGACAAAGUCGAUACAAUCGCAACAGUUUCAAUUUCUGAGCGAUCAACGAAGAAGAGAUGACCAAUAUAUAAGGCAAAACACCCAAGUUGACCAAACGGUGACAGUCUAAAAAUUCGUGGACGUCCAUGGUAGAUACCACAAACAACUGCCGAAUGUAUGUUCUGGUUUUCUGAGGUGGUUUUAGUAGUAGAAGGGGACUUGGAGAAGAAAUGUUGCACUGGUUCGUAAACGGGAAAGCAAGCUGAAGCUUCUUCAUGGUUCUCUUCUUGCGAGAGAGACUUGCGAAGACGUUCGGUGAGGAGACGGGCCAACGGAGACGUAGGUGCACUUGUUCAUACUGAGCGAGAAACCAAUAUGAAGCUUCUUCGUGAAGCAUGGUUCUCUUCUUUUCUUGUUCAAUUCUAUUUUUUUAAAAAAGGCCAUGUCAGCAGGAGUCCGCAAAGUGUCCCCCAAAUUGACUACCUGUAGAAGAAUUCUUGUUUAUUAUAUUUUGUGUGAGAAUAUGAUAAAGUUGUAAUGAUGAGAUGAGAUGAGAUAAAACCAUUCUUUUAU